UCCAACAAAUCCUAAAUGUAAAUAUUAUUAUGUCCAUAGAUUGAAGUUUCAGGUGGAGAGCAAGAUGAAAAAUAUGCCAAAUUACAUGCAUGCAACCCAUUUAUGCCAUUUUUCUCUUUGUUUGUAGGCCUGACCAUUUGUCCUUGAGCCGCAGAUGGUCAACAAUCCGCUAGCUGUCUUGCUCUGACUGGUGCACUGGACAUGAUUUCAAUAGUCAGCCAGACCAUGAUUGAGCUUAAGGAUUGUGCUGCGGAUGCGGCCUGUGCAGUUCCGGGAGAAAGUCACUGUCUUGGGCAAUGCGGUCUGGUAUCAGGUCUGGAUGAUCCUUGCCUGACUGCGGGUUUGUGUACACCUCAAUCCGACUCGGUGUCCUGAACAGAGGCCUCAGUGGUGCAGCGCUUGUGGACGAUCCAUCAACAUCCUGAAAGGUCAACACUUCACCAAGCUGGGAAAAUUGAUCCCGAUACUCAUCCCCAGGUAGUGGAAUGAAUGUACACUGAACUACAGAGGAAUCACACUCAAAUGACUUUCCUGCCACGACAUUAGUGUGGCCGCUCGCGUAGGAAUUCCUUAGCAAACAUGCUCUUUUGCAUGAUGACUGUGGGCAUUUUUGCAAAACUUAAGCUUUCAACACUGGAUUUCAAAAAGAAUACUUAAUAAAAUGUCGCUAACAGGACUUAUUUUUAUGAAAGAGACUAUCUGGAUGCGCAACAAGUGUCACUUUGUGUCGUAAGCUGUUGAAGGAGCGAUUUGCGCCUUUAUAAGUGUUAAUUUUUGGUAGCAGGCUUGUAUCGGCUUGAAAGCUGCAAAUUAUGCCUCUGAUCAUAAUAGCAUUAAUUUUUGUAAUUGCAAUGUGUAUGUUUUGAUUGUAAGUGAAGCUUUUAAUAAUAAUUUUCUUGAAAAACAUGAUUUUAUAUGCUGUCAGUGAGUUUUUUAUUGAAAAAAGUGCUUAAAAUUAAAAAAAGUCUCCUUUUUCAUCAAGAAAAGUACACUGAUUCACAAUCAAUACAUUUAU